GACGAACGCUGGCGGCGUGCUUAACACAUGCAAGUCGAACGGAAAGGCCCUGCUUUUGUGGGGUGUUCGAGUGGCGAACGGGUGAGUAACACGUGAGUAACCUGCCCUUGACCUUGGGAUAACUUCAGGAAACUGGGGCUAAUACCGGAUAGGAGCUCCUGCUGCAUGGUGGGGGUUGGAAAGUUUCGGCGGUUGGGGAUGGACUCGCGGCUUAUCAGCUUGUUGGUGGGGUAGUGGCUUACCAAGGCUUUGACGGGUAGCCGGCCUGAGAGGGUGACCGGCCACAUUGGGACUGAGAUACGGCCCAGACUCCUACGGGAGGCAGCAGUGGGGAAUAUUGCACAAGGGGCGGAAGCCUGAUGCAGCAACGCCGCGUGCGGGAUGACGGCCUUCGGGUUGUAAACCGCUUUCGCCUGUGACGAAGCGUGAGUGACGGUAAUGGGGAAAGAAGCACCGGCUAACUACGU
rnacentral:rRNA from 1 species